GAGGAAGGAUCUCCUAAAAUACCACUGCAAUGUGCACGUGUUAGAAGGAUGGUCCGAGAUGGCUAUUUCGGCUUUAAAGACUAUUUUCAAUCUCUAUGUCAUACUGUGGACGGUGGUAAAGACUUAUAUUUUCUUGGUUCUGAUUUUGAGAGCUAUUUAGAGGCUCAGUCAGGCUGUUGUUGAUAAAGCAUUUGCGGAUCCAAAUAAGUGGACUCAGAUGAGCAUCCUUAGCACAGCCGGGUCAGGGAUAUUUAGCAGUGAUAGAACAUUCCAAGACUACGCGGAGAAGACUUGGGGAAUUGAACCGUGCAGAUUCCCUUCUGAUGGCUAGCUCACCCUCACCCUCACCCUCAUACACACCCACACCCCAGUAGCAACAUUUUACAGAUUUGAAUGGAAUGUAUCGGAAAGAAUUUAAAUUCUCAUUCCCCAACGUUGCUUGUAUAAAUAAAAUAAUUGAAGAAAUAAUUGU